rnacentral:lncRNA from 1 species
GACUUGAAUCUGUAACCCAAAUAAACUGAAUUACCCAGUUGUUUCACAAGUCACUUACACAAAGAAAAGAGCUUAAUUUUUCUUCUCAUACUUCUUAGUAAUGCCUAUCAGGACAGCCAAUCAAAUAGACUUCAUAAUCUCCUAAGGCUCUACAAAAGCUAUUUUCUUUUUUCUCUUCAACUUACUAUCUGAGAUAUACCAUAGGUGAUGAGAAGCAUGAGAGAAUUUUAAUGCUACAUGAAUUAUCCUUGGAAUUUAUAUUUUUCAUCCAAAAAAGAACUGUUCCCAAAGAACUCUCUUGUAAAUAGAGACUUUGAGGAAAACAGAGAGGUGCGCUAAACUGGGCAUCCUGCAAAAUGCCUUCCUGAGCAGAAGAUGACGCCACCUUCCCACUCAGUUCUGCCAGCACAGGAUCUGUUAAUGUCAAGCCAUUGCCUCUUCUUGUCCCCUGCACAAAACACUUGAAGGAUCUAACUCCCAAUGCAACAGAUUUCUUGAUAGCUCAUCACAGCCACCUGGUUGUACUGCUGAUAGUCUUCUAGAAUUCCAAAUCAGCUUACCAAUGUCAUUAUGUAUUUCUACAGUAAAUAAAACAAGAACUCUAACAGCACCUUUUUAAAUCGGUAACAAGGAUGGAAAGCAUCAAAAUGAUUAGGCACAAAAACCUUGAGAAUUUAUCUUUAAAUUGUUAGCAAAGGAAAGGAAAAUAAAAAAUGUGGCAGUCAUUCAUUCUAUGGAACAACAUUCUUUCUCCUAAUACAAAAUGAAAUGCCAUACGUGCAGAUACUGGCCAAUAUAAAGGAGCCAAGUUACGUCUAGCAAAGAUUUUUCACUAGGUGACCAUUCUUGACAAUAUUUAGCAUUGUGAGAAAUAAGUAAUGUUAAGGUUUGACAUCUGUAAGUGCCUGAAUUUUCAUAAAGAACUUGAAAGAGAUUCAAUCGGGUUACUAUGGUAAGAUGAUCUAUCAAGAGGAAUAAUUUAAGAGGAAUUAAAGUUUUAAAAACAAAAAUCUUUUUUAAAUUAAAAAAGAAAUAAAAAUCUUUUCCCAGAAAGACCUGUGCUCUCCUUGAUGCUGCUUUGUCAAUGGAAACCUGGCGGUAAUAGGC